CUCGGCCGUCGAGCCUAGAGCGGUAGUGGGGUCGCAGGAGAUGGUGCUUGAGGAAUCGGGCCGAAAUGUGCAAGUAAUUCCGAGCACUGCGUGGAUAGAAUUCACCCAACGUGUUAAACGGAUCCUUUGUCGUGUGUGCAAGUGUGCGACACGGUGUGACCCAGUGACAGCGAUUAACGUGCAAGAAAUCGUCGGAAUGUGUACGCCAAAGUAACAUAAAUCAUCGAGCACACGCACACGAGUAAUGGGAGGAUUUACCAUAAUCGUCUGUCGGUGAAUCGAACAUCACAACAACAAGCCCGAGGACGCAGUAGAGAUCGACGACACUAAAUACGGAAAGGUUUACUCUCGUUGAAUCGUGCGUGUUGAAUGUGUUUCGAGAACGUCGAGAUGCUGUACGAUGGCGGUGACGACGGUCGGCAUAAUUAAAACGAGUGACACUGAGUAGGAUUCGAUCGCGGACUGAUACAGGAAGGAAACGUGGGUGGAUAGCGAGUAUACACCCUCCAGCGAUUCGUUUCGUCUACCGGAACGAAAUGUACGAAACGUUUCCUACGAGGCUCGCGAGUCCAGUGACCGAACAACACACAGCUCUACACCGUGAAGAGGUUGAUGCGCAACUGCACAGCAAAGAGAAAAGCCCGGAGGGCAGCUUCGCUGCAAGGCAUAUACCGGGGAUGUUUUUAAUGAGAAUUAUAUACCAUGGAACUCAUGAAUAGGGGUUGCAGUUUGAGAAACACUGGCCUGAAGCAUACUACGUAUACCGCAGUGAUGUAACUACCGAUCACAAUACCUAAAAUCGUCACGAAUGUCAGCAACUACUGUUGGGAUCAAGAUUAGAUAUGCACCCAGGAAUAUCAAUCACGCAAUUCUGUUCGGUUAGUCGCAACCCUAUGGAUGUACCAAUAAAUUAUUGAAACUGCAGAUUACUUUUCUCGUAUUACACAGGAGGCUUCGAAAAAUUGAGAAAAGCAUGCGAAGGAUAUACGAUACGACGUUGUUUCAUUGAAUACGUCUAUACAUUCCUUCCCUCGUUUAAUUUCGAACGAAUAAGUAGGGUAAAAACCUUAAACGCUCCAUUCAAGAACAAGAACACGUGAAAAUUAUAGAGAUACUAUAGAUAGAGAGGUAAAAACCACAGAAAUUUAUCUAUCUCUGUGCUUUUAUUAACGUGAAUGUAAAUAAAAUACGUAUCUAAUUAUCCAAAGUAUAGACGAUAACCAUUUAUCGUUAACAUUAUACAAAUAAAUAAUCAAAAUUAAGGCUCGAUGCACGAAAGCAUCGAGAGUCACAAUGUUUGUUACCCAUAGAAUAAACGUCGAAACUGUAAAUCCGCGACACCAUAGAUGUAACAUUCCCUUGUAAGCCUUCUAAUUAAUUUCAUUAAAUUUGCUCCAUCCGUUGAAGCAUCACUUCCAUUAUAGAAACUUGAUAAGAAAUCUCUAAUAAAUCUAGCCAACAAACAAUUAUAUUGUUUCUUUUUAAAUAUCGUUAAAAACGUACAGAACGCAGAAUUACUCGAACGAUACGAAAUGUUUUGUUCUCAGAUUCGAAAUAUAGAAUACGAAGACUUUUUUUCCAUCGCAAUUUUUACACGCUCUUGUUUUUGAACGACGCGUUUGAAGUUCUCCCGUAGCCUAGUUACUCGUCUGAAGGUUAAACGAGGGUAAUAACGUUGCAUUAUACCCUCGAUACGCUUCGGCACGCGGAUUAACUUCGCGCUUCGAAGCUUCGUGAAAAAAACGUGAGCUGCAACGUGCUGGGUAUUGGGGUUGAAUUGCAGGUCGAAAGGGAUGCAUACAGGCUAGGCCAGUAAUCUGUGAGAAAUGAAAUGGAAUCGCAGAAUUCCAGCAAAAAAUGAAACAAGUAACACACGAAAGCUGUGUAUCGUACAUACUGUGCGUUAGUCUAUUUUUCUUUUUUCAGACCUUUUUUUGUAGUACUAGAAAGGUAAAAAUCUGGUAAAAAGGCUGAAGUACCGAAACUUGACCUGAAAAAUACCACUUUAUUUGUCUAUCCCUUCUGAAACUGUCCUACAAGCUUUCGUAUGACGAAUGUCUUACGUUCUAUUAUCAAUGUUUCUUUCUCUUGGAAAUGAAACCUCCAAUUUUUAGCAUUGAAGCUCAUUAUCUCAUAAAGUACAGUAUUACAAUUUUAUAAAUUAGCGUUAAGAAAUAUUCGAGGAUUUGAAAAUUAUGUUUCAGAGUAGUUUCACCUCCUUGUUUGCGUACUAACAUUCGUGAUUCUUUCACGUAAAGAGAAGACUGGAAUUUAUGUUGCACGUUGUAUUUAUAUCAUUAAAAUAGGUCGAUGAAACGUUUUCUAUUUUUUUUCUCAACUUUACAUCGCAGCUCGCUUAUAGCUUUUCUCCUUACUGACGCAUCGUAAACUGUAACAAGGAUAAACUAUAAAAGGGAACAAAUUACUGAUACUAGCGAUGCCUACGUGGAACAAGAUUGAAAUGUUUCAAAGGGUGCUUGAAAGAUGUCGAAUGUUUUUUUUUGUCGAAAAUGCGUGUAUUUUUCAAUAUUGCAUCACUUUGUAGUUUCGUCAGAACUUAUAAUACACUUACGAAGGAUAUACAAAUCGUAUCGCGAAUUCCGCGGUACAAUGUGUACGACACAAUCAUUUUAUCCUAAUUGAAAAUCACAAUUUACUUUAUAUUUCCGUGAAACCGACAUUAACAAUACAAUGUC